rnacentral:rRNA from 1 species
GAUGAACGCUCGCUACAGGCUUAACACAUGCAAGUCGCGGGGCAGCAUGGGGGUUGCUUGCAAUCCCCGAUGGCGACCGGCGCACGGGUGAGUAACGCGUAUCCAACCUGCCCUUCACCACGGGAUAACCCGGCGAAAGUCGGACUAAUACCGUAUGUUUUCCAUUGACGGCAUCCGAUUUGGACGAAAGGGUUGGCGGUGAAGGCGGGGGAUGCGUCCGAUUAGCUGGACGGCGGGGUGACGGCCCACCGUGGCGACGAUCGGUAGGGGUUCUGAGAGGAAGUUCCCCCACACUGGAACUGAGACACGGUCCAGACUCCUACGGGAGGCAGCAGUGAGGAAUAUUGGUCAAUGGGCGUAAGCCUGAACCAGCCAAGUAGCGUGCAGGAGGACGGCCCUAGGGGUUGUAAACUGCGUUUAUGCGGGGAUAAAGUGGCCCACGUGUGGGUUUUUGCAGGUACCGCAUGAAUAAGGACCGGCUAAUUCCGUG